rnacentral:lncRNA from 1 species
CACACACACGCACAUACACACACACACACAUGAAUAUACUUACCUAAUGCCUUUAGUUGUGUAUCUUCACUUCCUGUUAGCGGCUGACUCAGACAAUCCCAUUGGUCAAUGUGGUGUGAAAUAGUCCCCAGGAAGUUUUAAUAGAUUUGCUUACAAACAGUGUAUUCAUGUUGUACACUAGCCAGCUCAAGGUCAAAGAAUGGGUCAGGAGUUGAUUGAUUGAUACGCAUACUCAACCAACACGGUCCACUCUCCUAGGCCGGACAAACAUGGAUGUGAUGAUUCAGCAGGAAUCCCUUCUGGGUGAGAUGUCAUUCAAAGUUAGUUGAUUUACAACUCCUGGCUUUGGCUGGCACUCUGUUGGCUGGUGUAAACCCUAAUUCAUAAAUCCCUUAUAUAGACAUAAUGAAAUAACCAGAGAAGAGAGAGAGGGGGAGAUAAAGAAACAACACAAAAACAAAAUAAAAUCUAUUGAUUUUAAAUAUUGUAUCCAAUAUGCAGGACUGUGUGACUUGUGCUCGGCUUUUCUUACACAUUGCUUAUACCACAUUCUAAGGCUGUUCUUCGCCAUCUGUUUCUUUCCAGCGAAUGCACAGGAAUCUCCAGUGGGGGAGUGUUCCCUUUGUGUUGUGAAUCCAUGGACUGAAUGGCUGACACUUGGUUGUGGAAAGGCGGGACAAGGGAUAAGGAGCUGAGGUAGAGCUAAAAGAAAAAAACGAUGUACAAGAGAACAGAGAAGCAGAGAAGCAGCGUGGCAAUGUGAAAGCAGGGUAAUUGUGUCUUGGAU